rnacentral:rRNA from 1 species
CCUACGGGCGGCUGCAGUGGGGAAUAUUGGACAAUGGGGGGAACCCUGAUCCAGCCAUGCCGCGUGUGUGAAGAAGGCCCUCGGGUUGUAAAGCACUUUCAGUGAGGAAGAACGCCUGGUGGUUAAUACCCAUCAGGAAAGACAUCACUCACAGAAGAAGCACCGGCUAACUCCGUGCCAGCAGCCGCGGUAAUACGGAGGGUGCGAGCGUUAAUCGGAAUUACUGGGCGUAAAGCGCGCGUAGGUGGCUUGAUAAGCCGGUUGUGAAAGCCCCGGGCUCAACCUGGGAACGGCAUCCGGAACUGUCAAGCUAGAGUGCAGGAGAGGAAGGUAGAAUUCCCGGUGUAGCGGUGAAAUGCGUAGAGAUCGGGAGGAAUACCAGUGGCGAAGGCAGCCUUCUGGACUGACACUGACACUGAGGUGCGAAAGCGUGGGUAGCAAACAGGAUUAGAUACCCCUGUAGUC